UACGUAGGGGGCAAGCGUUGUCCGGAAUCAUUGGGCGUAAAGCGCGUGUAGGCGGCCCGAUAAGUCCGCUGUGAAAGUCCAGGGCUCAACCCUGGAAUGCCGGUGGAUACUGUCGGGCUCGAGUCCGGAAGAGGCGAGUGGAAUUCCUGGUGUAGCGGUGAAAUGCGUAGAUAUCUGGAGGAACACCGGUGGCGAAGGCGGCAUCCUGGACCAACACUGACGCUGAGGAGCGAAAGCCAGGGGAGCAAACGGG
rnacentral:rRNA from 1 species